rnacentral:rRNA from 1 species
UGGGGAAUAUUGGACAAUGGGCGCAAGCCUGAUCCAGCCAUGCCGCGUGAGUGAUGAAGGCCUUAGGGUUGUAAAGCUCUUUUAUCCGGGACGAUAAUGACGGUACCGGAAGAAUAAGCACCGGCUAACUCCGUGCCAGCAGCCGCGGUAAUACGGAGGGUGCAAGCGUUAUCCGGAUUCACUGGGUUUAAAGGGUGCGUAGGCGGGCAGGUAAGUCAGUGGUGAAAUCUCCGGGCUUAACCCGGAAACUGCCGUUGAUACUAUCUGUCUUGAAUGCCGUGGAGGUGAGCGGAAUAUGUCAUGUAGCGGUGAAAUGCUUAGAUAUGACAUAGAACACCUAUUGCGAAGGCAGCUCGCUACACGGUUAUUGACGCUGAGGCACGAAAGCGUGGGGAUCAAACA